UUGGUCAAUAGCCUAACGGCUGAACCAGCAACUUGGAAGAAUGAAAAUAUGAACUAUGUUCAUUAUAGUUCUAGAUAAAAUUAUGAUAAUGACAUUUUUUAUCUAUUAGUCUUGACAAAGUCACGUGCCAGCAGUCGCGGUAAUACGUGGAAGACAAGUGUUAUUCAUGUUUAGUAGGUUUAAAGGGUACGUAGACAGUCUAUCAAGCUUAAAUCAAGUACUAAUAGACUAGAGUUUUAUAAGAUGAAGUAGAACGGUUAGGGUAGAGAUGAAAUUCUGUGAUCCAACUUAGAAACGUAUAACGGCGAAGGCAACUUUUUAUGUAUAAACUGACGUUAAGGGACGAAGGCUCAAAACGUAUGAAUAGGAUUAGAUACCCUAGUAAUGAGAGCAGACAAUGAUGAAUGUCAUAUAUAAGAAAACUUUUUUUUUAAUUAAAGAGUGUUAAUCUAUUUAAAUAUUAAUAAAAAUUUUUAUGUAUAAAUGAAAGUGUAAGCAUUCCACCUCAAGAGUAAUAUGGCCUCAUAGAAACUGAAAUCAUUAGACCGUAUCUGAAACCAGUAGUGGAGUAUGUUGUUUAAUUUGAUAAUCCACGUAAAACCUUACCACAAUUAUUUGAAUAUAAAUAUAUAAGUAUAUUUUUACAAGAGUUGCACGGCUGUCUUUAGUUAAUGUCGUGAGAUUUUGGUUAGUUCCAUUAAAUUAACGUAAACCCUUAUUUUAUUUGUUAUAAAAUAGUUCCCCGAUAUAUUGGAAUAUGAUAGAAGGGAUUAAGACAAGUCAUCAUGGCCUGAACAUUGU
rnacentral:rRNA from 1 species